GUUAAGUUGGAGUGAUUACGGCAGGAAAGAGUAAAUGAGAAGCAAAAGCAUGAAUUAUUUAAUUUCAGCUUUGAUGGAAUAAAGUAUUUAUUGAAGGAUUUUAUUGAACAAAAUAUCAGGUUGGUUUUUGUAAGUAUAACUGAUGUUGGGCCAGACGAUUUCUGCAACAUCAAUUCAGUUGGCGGCCAUCUUGACAUCAUCUCCAGUCAUGUACGUCACACAAUGGAUUGCAACAACACCUCUUCAUGGAUACAG